rnacentral:rRNA from 1 species
GAUGAACGCUGGCGGCGUGCCUAAUACAUGCAAGUCGAGCGAACGGACGAGAAGCUUGCUUCUCUGAUGUUAGCGGCGGACGGGUGAGUAACACGUGGAUAACCUACCUAUAAGACUGGGAUAACUUCGGGAAACCGGAGCUAAUACCGGAUAAUAUUUUGAACCGCAUGGUUCAAAAGUAAAAGACGGUCUUGCUGUCACUUAUAGAUGGAUCCGCGCUGCAUUAGCUAGUUGGUAAGGUAACGGCUUACCAAGGCAACGAUGCAUAGCCGACCUGAGAGGGUGAUCGGCCACACUGGAGCGGGGCCACGGUCCAGACUCCUACGGGAGGCAGCAGUAGGGAACCUUACGCAGUGGGCGAAAACCUGGCGGAGCGACGCCGCGUGAGUGGUGAAGGUCUUCGGAUCGGAAAACUCUGUUAUUAGGGAAGAACAUAUGUGUAAGUAACUGUGCACAUCUUGACGGUACCGAAUCAAAAAGCCACGGCUAACUACGUG